rnacentral:rRNA from 1 species
CGUGCUUAACACAUGCAAGUCGAACGAUGAAGCCCAGCUUGCUGGGUGGAUUAGUGGCGAACGGGUGAGUAACACGUGAGUAACCUGCCCUUGACUCUGGGAUAAGCCUGGGAAACUGGGUCUAAUACCGGAUAUGACCUUCCAUCGCAUGGUGGUUGGUGGAAAGCUUUUGUGGUUUUGGAUGGACUCGCGGCCUAUCAGCUUGUUGGUGGGGUAAUGGCCUACCAAGGCGAUGACGGGUACCCGGCCUGAGAGGGUGACCGGCCACACUGGGACUGAGACACGGCCCAGACUCCUACGG